CCUAAAUGAAGCAUUUAUAUUAUUCCACCCAAGGCUCAAGGGACAUUGGAAAAGAAGACACAGAAAGAAUUUAUGAUCUAGAACAAGAGAACCUGGAAGCAACCUAGAUGCCCCUCAACUGAAGAAUGGAUACAGAAAAUGUGGUACAUUUACACAAUGGAGUACUACUCGGCAGGAGGAGGGGGAUGAAAUCUUGAAAUUCACAGGCAAAUGGAUGGAACUAGAAGAAACCUUCUGAGUGAGGACAACUGCAUUAAGCUCUCCCAUCCCUCAUCAGACACAGCAAAACUUUCUUUCUCAUUGAGACAUGGAAUAUUUGUUCCUCCUGAUUCUCAC
rnacentral:lncRNA from 1 species